UACGUAGGGGGCAAGCGUUAUCCGGAUUUACUGGGUGUAAAGGGAGCGUAGACGGCGAUGCAAGCCAGAUGUGAAAGCCCGCGGCUCAACUGCGGUAGUGCAUUUGGAACUGUAUGGCUGGAGUGCAGGAGAGGCAGGCGGAAUUCCUAGUGUAGCGGUGAAAUGCGUAGAUAUUAGGAAGAACACCAGUGGCGAAGGCGGAUUACUGGACGACAACUGACGGUGAGGCGCGAAAGCGUGGGGAGCAAACAGG
rnacentral:rRNA from 1 species